AGAAGAUAAUAUUGUAAGUCGCUCUGGAUAAGAGCGUCUGCUAAAUGACGUAAA
rfam:Salmo salar isolate Sally breed double haploid chromosome ssa25, whole genome shotgun sequence.